rnacentral:rRNA from 1 species
UCGGGAAUAUUGCGCAAUGGAGGAAACUCUGACGCAGUGACGCCGCGUAUAGGAAGAAGGUUUUCGGAUUGUAAACUAUUGUCGUUAGGGAAGAUAAAAGACUGUACCUAAGGAGGAAGCCCCGGCUAACUAUGUGCCAGCAGCCGCGGUAAUACAUAGGGGGCAAGCGUUAUCCGGAAUUAUUGGGUGUAAAGGGUGCGUAGACGGAAGAACAAGUUGGUUGUGAAAUCCCUCGGCUCAACUGAGGAACUGCAACCAAAACUAUUCUCCUUGAGUGUCGGAGAGGAAAGUGGAAUUCCUAGUGUAGCGGUGAAAUGCGUAGAUAUUAGGAGGAACACCAGUGGCGAAGGCGACUUUCUGGACGAUAACUGACGUUGAGGCACGAAAGUGUGGGGAGCAAACAGGAUUAGAUACC